rnacentral:rRNA from 1 species
GAUUAACGCUGGCGGCGUGCAUAACACAUGCAAGUCGAACGAUGAAACUUAAAUGAUUUCUUCGGAAUGAACUUAAGUGGAUUAGUGGCGGACGGGUGAGUAACGCGUGAGUAACCUGCCUUACACAAGGGGAUAGCCGUUGGAAACGACGAAUAAUACCCUAUGAAACUAUCACUUCGCAUGAAGCGAUAGUCAAAGUGUUAGCGGUGUAAGAUGGACUUGCGUCUGAUUAGAUAGUUGGUGAGAAAAAAGCCCACCAAGGCAACGAUCAGUAGCCGGCUUGAGAGAGUGUACGGCCACAUUGGGACUGAGGCACGGCCCAGACUCCUACGGGAGGCAGCAGUGGGGAAUUUUGCACAAUGGGGGAAACCCUGAUGCAGCGACGCCGCGUGAUUUAGAAGGCCUUCGGGUUGUAAAAAUCUUUUGUAUAGGAAGAAAAUGACAGUGCUAUACGAAUAAGGUCCGGCUAAUUACGUG